GACGAACGCUGGCGGCGUGCUUAACACAUGCAAGUCGAACGGAAAGGCCCCUUUGGGGGUACUCGAGUGGCGAACGGGUGAGUAACACGUGAGUAACCUGCCCUUGACUUCGGGAUAACUUCAGGAAACUGGGGCUAAUACCGGAUAGGAAUCCUUGCUGCAUGGUGGGGGUUGGAAAGCUUCGGCGGUUUUGGAUGGACUCGCGGCUUAUCAGCUUGUUGGUGGGGUAGUGGCUUACCAAGGCUUUGACGGGUAGCCGGCCUGAGAGGGCGACCGGCCACAUUGGGACUGAGAUACGGCCCAGACGCCUACGGGAGGCAGCAGGGGGGAAUAUUGCACAAUGGGCGGAAGCCGGAUGCAGCAACGCCGCGUGCGGGAGGACGGCCUUCGGGUUGUAAACCGCUUUCAGCAGGGGCGAAGCUUGUGGUGACGGUACCUGCAGAAGAAGCACCGGCUAACUACGUG
rnacentral:rRNA from 1 species